rnacentral:rRNA from 1 species
AGUGAACGCUGGCGGUAGGCCUAACACAUGCAAGUCGAACGGCAGCACAGUAAGAGCUUGCUCUUACGGGUGGCGAGUGGCGGACGGGUGAGGAAUACAUCGUAAUCUACUUUUUCGUGGGGGAUAACGUAGGGAAACUUACGCUAAUACCGCAUACGACCUACGGGUGAAAGCAGUGGAUCUUCGGACCUUGCGCGAUUGAAUGAGCCGAUGUCGGAUUAGCUAGUUGGCGGGGUAAAGGCCCACCAAGGCGACGAUCCGUAGCUGGUCUGAGAGGAUGAUCGGCCACACUGGAACGGAGACACGGUCCAGACUCCUACGGGAGGCAGCAGUGGGGAAUAUUGGACAAUGGGCGCAAGCCUGAUCCAGCCAUACCGCGUGGGUGAAGAAGGCCUUCGGGUUGUAAAGCCCUUUUGUUGGGAAAGAAAAGCAGCAGGUUAAUACCCCGCUGUUCUGACGGUACCCAAAGAAUAAGCACCGGCUAACUUCGUG